rnacentral:rRNA from 1 species
GACGAACGCUGGCGGCGUGCCUAAUACAUGCAAGUAGAACGCUGAAGGAGGAGCUUGCUUCUCUGGAUGAGUUGCGAACGGGUGAGUAACGCGUAGGUAACCUGCCUGGUAGCGGGGGAUAACUAUUGGAAACGAUAGCUAAUACCGCAUAACAGUAGAUAUCGCAUGAUAUCUACUUGAAAGGUGCAAUUGCAUCACUACCAGAUGGACCUGCGUUGUAUUAGCUAGUUGGUGAGGUAACGGCUCACCAAGGCGACGAUACAUAGCCGACCUGAGAGGGUGAUCGGCCACACUGGGACUGAGACACGGCCCAGACUCCUACGGGAGGCAGCAGUAGGGAAUCUUCGGCAAUAGACGGAAGUCUGACCGAGCAACGCCGCGUGAGUGAAGAAGGUUGUCGGAUCGUAAAGCUCUGUUGUAAGAGAAGAACGAGUGUGAGAGUGGAAAGUUCACACUGUGACGGUAUCUUACCAGAAAGGGACGGCUAACUACGUG